GACGAAGGAUGCAAGCGUUAUCCGGAUUCAUUGGGUUUAAAGGGUGCGUAGGCGGACUUGUAAGUCAGUGUUGAAAUCUCUCAGCUUAACUGAGAAACUGCCAUUGAUACUGCAGGUCUUGAGUACAGAUGAUGUUGGCGGAAUAUGACAUGUAGCGGUGAAAUGCAUAGAUAUGUCAUAGAACACCGAUUGCGAAGGCAGCUGACAAAACUGUAACUGACGCUGAGGCACGAAAGUGUGGGGAUCAAACAGG
rnacentral:rRNA from 1 species